GUCAGGAUGGCCGAGCGGUCCAAGGCGCUGCGUUCAGGUCGCAGUCCGGUCUUCCGGGCGUGGGUUCGAAUCCCACCCCUGACA
rnacentral:tRNA from 1 species